CCUACGGGAGGCAGCAGUAGGGAAUCUUCCACAAUGGACGAAAGUCUGAUGGAGCAACGCCGCGUGAGUGAAGAAGGGUUUCGGCUCGUAAAGCCCUGUUGGUAGUGAAGAAAGAUAGAGGUAGUAACUGGCCUUUAUUUGACGGUAAUUACUUAGAAUGUCACGGCUAACUACGUGCCAGCAGCCGCGGUAAUACGUAGGUGGCAAGCGUUGUCCGGAUUUAUUGGGCGUAAAGCGAGUGCAGGCGGUUCAAUAAGUCUGAUGUGAAAGCCCGCGGCUCAACCGGUGAAUUGCAUCAGAAACUGUUGAACUUGAGUGCAGAAGAGGAGAGUGGAACUCCAUGUGUAGCGGUGGAAUGCGUAGAUAUAUGGAAGAACACCAGUGGCGAAGGCGACUGUCUGGUCUGCAACUGACGCUGAGGCUCGAAAGCAUGGGUAGCGAACAGGAUUAGAUACCCUUGUAGUC
rnacentral:rRNA from 1 species